rnacentral:tRNA from 1 species
AAAGAAUUAGUUAAAUAUAUAACAUUAGAAUGUCAAACUAAAAUUAUUAAUAAAUUAAUAUUCUUUA